rnacentral:lncRNA from 1 species
AUGUUUGAGUUCUUCUCCCAGCACGGAGACGGCGUUUACAAAGAAGCCCAACAGCGCAUGGGUCUCCUGAGGAAGCUGAAAGGGUUCGACGUCAGAAAGGACAUUUUAUUAACGGUUUAUCAGACACUGAUGAAAUCUGUCUUCUCCUUCAACAUUACAUCUUGGUACAGCUUCCUAACAAGCAGAUGCAAGGGAAAACUGGCUAGGAUAAUUAAGCAGGCAAGCAAGACAACCAGCAUCCAAAAAAAUACAGUUUCCAGACUUGCACACUCAAGCAGUGGAGAGGAAGACCAAUUCCCCUCUCCUGGAUCCCCCCGUCCCCUCUCCUGUAUCCCUCCCGUCCCCUCUCCUGGAUCCCCCCCGUCCCCUCUCCUGGAUCCCCCCGUCCCCUCUCCUGUAUCCCUCCCGUCCCCUCUCCUGUAUCCCCCCCGUCCCCUCUCCUGGAUCCCCCCGUCCCCUCUCCUGUAUCCCCCCCGUCCCCUCUCCUGGAUCCCCCCCGUCCCCUCUCCUGGAUCCCUCCCCUCCCCUCUCCUGGAUCCCUCCCCCCUCCUGGAUCCCUCCCCCCUCCUGGAUCCCUCCCCUCUCCUGGAUCCCCCCGGCCCCUCUCCUGUAUCCCUCCCGUCCCCUCUCCUGGAUCCCCCCCGUCCCCUCUCCUGGAUCCCCCCGUCCCCUCUCCUGUAUCCCUCCCGUCCCCUCUCCUGUAUCCCCCCCGUCCCCUCUCCUGGAUCCCCCCGUCCCCUCUCCUGUAUCCCCCCCGUCCCCUCUCCUGGAUCCCCCCCGUCCCCUCUCCUGGAUCCCCCCGUCCCCUCUCCUGUAUCCCCCCGUCCCCUCUCCUGGAUCCCUCCCCUCUCCUGGAUCCCUCCGUCCCCUCUCCUGGAUCCCUCCCGUCCCCUCUCCUGGAUCCCCCCGUCCCCUCUCCUGUAUCCCCCCGUCCCCUCUCCUGGAUCCCCCCCGUCCUCUCUCCUGGAUCCCCCCGUCCCCUCUCCUGGAUCCCUCCCGUCCCCUCUCCUGGAUCCCUCCCGUCCCCUCUCCUGGAUCCCUCCCCUCUCCUGGAUCCCUCCCGUCCCCUCUCCUGGAUCCCCCCGUCCCCUCUCCUGGAUCCCUCCCACCUGCUCCACGGCUGCUUUGAGCUGCUUCCAUCCGGCAGAAGAUACAGAGUGCCUCUAG